rnacentral:rRNA from 1 species
UGGGGAAUAUUGCACAAUGGGCGCAAGCCUGAUGCAGCGACGCCGCGUGGGGGAUGACGGCCUUCGGGUUGUAAACUCCUUUCGCUUGGGACGAAGCACUUUGUGACGGUACCUAGAUAAGAAGCACCGGCUAACUACGUGUCAGCAGCCGCGGUCAUACGUCGGGUGCGAGCGGUGUCCGGAAUUAUUGGGCGUAAAGGGCUCGUUGGUGGUUUGUCGCGGCGUCUGUGAAAUUCCGGGGCUUAACUCCGAGCGUGCAGGCGAUACGGGAAUAACUUGAGUACUGUAGGGGUAUCUGGAAUUGCUGGUGGAGCGGUAAAACGCGAAGAUGUCAGGAGGAACGCCGAUGGCGGAGGCAGGUUACUGGGCAGUUACUGACGCUGAGGAGCGAAAGCAUGGGUAGCGAACAGG